GACGAACGCUGGCGGCGUGCUUAACACAUGCAAGUCGAACGGAAAGGCCCUGCUUGCAGGGUACUCGAGUGGCGAACGGGUGAGUAACACGUGGGUGAUCUGCCCUGCACUUCGGGAUAAGUCUGGGCAACUGGGUCUAAUACCGGAUAGGAGCCAUUUUUAGUGUGAUGGUUGGAAAGUUUUUUCGGUGUAGGAUGAGCUCGCGGCCUAUCAGCUUGUUGGUGGGGUAAUGGCCUACCAAGGCGGCGACGGGUAGCCGGCCUGAGAGGGUGGACGGCCACAUUGGGACUGAGAUACGGCCCAGACUCCUACGGGAGGCAGCAGUGGGGAAUAUUGCACAAUGGGCGCAAGCCUGAUGCAGCGACGCCGCGUGGGGGAUGACGGCCUUCGGGUUGUAAACUCCUGUCGCUAGGGACGAAGCUUUUUGUGACGGUACCUAGAUAAGAAGCACCGGCUAACUACGUG
rnacentral:rRNA from 1 species